UACGUAGGGGGGCAAGCGUUGUCCGGAUUUAUUGGGCGUAAAGAGCGUGUAGGCGGCUAGAUAGGUCCGUUGUGAAAACUCGAGGCUCAACCUCGAGACGUCGAUGGAAACCAUCUGGCUAGAGUCCGGAAGAGGAGAGUGGAAUUCCUGGUGUAGCGGUGAAAUGCGCAGAUAUCAGGAAGAACACCCGUGGCGAAGGCGGCUCACUGGGUCUUUUUCUGACGCUGAUGCACGAAAGCUAGGGGAGCAAACGGG
rnacentral:rRNA from 1 species